UCAUUUAUUCCAUUUUAUUAAAUUUUGAAUUAUUUCUAAAUUUAUUUACGAAUUUACGAUUCCUUGCAGUAUGAGUGUCUGUUGCUCGCAGUCUGAUGAAAUGGAAGCUUCAGAUAAAGAUCCUUCUAGCUCAGUUUUUCAGAUGGACGGCUUUAUCUCCGAUUCCAAUUAUGUUGCGAAGAAGAUGACCAUGGUGCUUUUUAUAAAUGGUAUGAACUAUUCAUGCAAUGCCAUAUCAACACAAGGAAAUUAUAGUAAAUCAUAGAUCGGUAGAUUGCAGUGAUCUGAAGAGAGCUAUAGAAGUUGUUUAUGCUGCAACAUUGCCAAAAGCAUCAAAACCCUUCAUAUACAUGUCAAUUAUGUUACCACCUGAACAUGUUGAUGUGAACGUUCACCCAAACAAAGAGAGAGGUAUGGUGCUUCUACUUUCUAGUGUUUAGGGUUGUGUGAGAUUAUUUAGAAAAUUCAUGAGCCUUUAAAACACCAAAUAAUUACAUUUUUAUCAAAAAUGAACUCUUUUGUUAUGCAGGUAAGCCUUCUGAAUCAGGAAAUCAUCAUUGAGACACAAACAUUUCAGGAACAAUAGACAGAAUUGCACUUAUCUUCUGAAAAAAAACAAACAAAACCCACCAAGCAGAAGAGCAGAAACAUUCUAAGCUAUCUGGACAGACUAUCCAGAAAUAUUAUCUGAUACAAAGUUGCAAAUAUGCCUCUAUAUCAAACACAAAACAUUGAAUUUCAUUACC